rnacentral:rRNA from 1 species
UGAGGAAUAUUGCCCAAUGGACGCAAGUCUGAGGCAGCGACGCCGCGUGGGUGAUGAAGGCCUUCGGGUCGUAAAGCCCUUUUCUGCGUGACGAGACCAGGACGGUAGCGCAGGAAAAAGUCUCGGCUAACUACGUGCCAGCAGCCGCGGUAAAACGUAGGAGGCAAGCGUUAUCCGGAGUUACUGGGCGUAAAGCGUGCGUAGGCGGGUCGGUAAGUGGGUGGUGAAAGCGCUCGGCUAAACCGGGCGAGUGCCAUUCAGACUGCCGGUCUAGAGGCGGAUAGAGGGGUGCGGAACUCCGGGUGUAGCGGUGAAAUGUGUAGAGAUCCGGAGGAACACCAGUGGUGCAAACGGCGCCCUGGGUCCGAACUGACGCUGAGGCACGAAAGCGUGGGGAGCGAACGGGAUUAGAGACCCCGGUAGUCCACGCCGUAAACGAUGUCAACUAGGUGUCCACUGGGCUACGGUUCAGGGGGUGCCGACGCUAACGCACUAAGUUGACCGCCUGGGGAGUACGGUCGCAAGGCUAA